rnacentral:ncRNA from 1 species
GAGAGCUGGAUGCGUUGAAAGGUGCACGUCCGGUUCGGAGAGGAGAGGCAGGGAAAUCGCCCUGCCUCUUACUCUAC